ACCUUUCCUUGAUGACAUCAUAGAAGGUUACUAGGCUGGUCAACAAUGAUUUGGACUUCAGGAUAACCGCGAGUAUUGGUACAGGUUAGGACAUGACCUGCAGGAGGGGAGCUCUGAAGAGAAGGACCUGGCUGUCCAGAUGGAUAACAGGAACUAUGGCAGCAACAGCAGAUAUAUGCUAGGGAUAUCUUCUGAGGAGAGAGCAAGAGCAAGGAUGCAUGUCUGCUGCUGAAGUCUGACUGUAGUUAGUGGAGGCUUUGCAAAAGAUACACCAGCAAGACUAGCACAGAUAGUACUCUCAAAAGAAAUAAUAAUAAUAAUAUUACAAGUUA